UACGAAGGGGGCUAGCGUUGUUCGGAUUUACUGGGCGUAAAGGGCGCGUAGGCGGAUUUUUAAGUCAGGGGUGAAAUCCCAAGGCUCAACCUUGGAACUGCCUUUGAUACUGGGAAUCUUGAGUCCGGGAGAGGUGAGUGGAACUGCGAGUGUAGAGGUGAAAUUCGUAGAUAUUCGCAAGAACACCAGUGGCGAAGGCGGCUCACUGGCCCGGAACUGACGCUCAUGCACGAAAGCGUGGGGAGCAAACAGG
rnacentral:rRNA from 1 species